CAGCUCUCGCCCGGUGGUGAAUAUAUCUCGCUGGGGCCUCUAAAUGUGAUACCCGAGCGAGUUAGAAAAAUGCCACACUUUGAGAUUUAAGAGUCCUUUAUU
rnacentral:pre_miRNA from 10 species